ACUCAAAUGAAUUGACGGGGACUUGCACAAGCAGUGGAUUAUGUGGUUUAAUUCGACGGUAAACGAAGAACCUUACCCGGGUUUGAAACCUAGUUGAAUGUUGCGGAAACGUAACAGUCUCACAAGGACAAUUAGGCAGGUGAUGCAUGGCCGUCGUCAGUUCGUGGUUUGAAUUGUUCCCUUAAGUGGGGUAACGAACGCAACCCUCGUUGCCAGUUACAAGUGUCUGGCGAGACUGCCCCAGAUUGUGCUCAUGAAAUAUGGAUUUCGUGAUCAGAAUCUGGGGAGGAAGGCGAGGAUGACGCCAGGUCAGCAUGUCCCUUUGAUAUCCGGGGCUACACACAUAAUACAAUCGCUGGGACAACGCGACGCGAAGAGGCAACUCAGAGCAAAUCGUAAGAAACCCAGCGCCAGUUCGGAUUGAAGUCUGCAACUCGACUUCAUGAAGCCGGAAUUGCUAGUAAUCGCAGGUCAGCUAUACUGCGGUGAAUACGUUCUCAAGUCUUGUACACACCGCCCGU
rnacentral:rRNA from 1 species